AUGCAUAACGCCAUUAGCCCUAGAAAAAGGAAAUUCAAAUCUAUAGACGGUAAUCCCAAGAGACGGCGUAGAUCUGAUAGUGGGGGUAGCAUUAUGGAUUUAGAACUUGAAGAGAUGGCAAUGAGGUAUGACGCAACCGGCGAUACGUCUCAUUUGUCGGCCGUAGGACAUGUGGGGGGUGGGGGCAUGUAUGCAGAAGGUUGUUUAGACAUGCGGGAAAUGUGUGUUGGCAUAGAUAGAACUAGGCGUGUGUUAAUUGCAGCUGAUGCAUGGGGGCAUAGCAUGGCUAAUGCUCUAUAUCAGGCAGCACAGAUAAAUGUUUCGAACGAAUCAGGUCUAGAUGAGAUGGUGGGGCUAGAGGCGCCAGGAGAUUUAGACACUAGGGGUGUGUUGUAUGCGGGGGCAAACACACGAAAGGUACUUAACGCUGUCGGGGGGUGGUUGGAUAGUGCACAAGAGAGUCUAUACAUAUCAGCGCAGAUCGAUGUACUGCAUGGGUCGCAAUGUGAUGAAGGGAUUGGCGAGGGUUUUCAGGACCCCCCGGCUGUGGCAGGGGUCCCUAUAGAGUCGAAUAUACAGGUCGGUGGGGGCGGUGUGGGGGGUGGUGGCGGUAGUGGCGUGGGGGGCGGUAGCGGUAGUGGCGUGGGGGGCGGUGGCGGUGGUGGCGGUGAUGGUGGUGGCGUGGGAGGAGGCGAUGGUGGUGGUGAUGUUGAUGGUGAUGGCAGUGGUGACGGUGAUGGUGGUGGUGACGGUGAUGGUGGUGCUGCUGAUGCUGAUGAUGGUACACCUGUGCCUGCUGUAACGGGGGAAGAUAAUGACGAGUUGCAUUCCAGAUUAUUUCCCCAUUUUAACGGCUUUGAGGUUAGACAGGCCAUUGAUCUGAGAAGUAUAGCCCUUGCAAAUUUACAGGAGGUCCCUGAUUUGAUCAGGGAGAGGCUGUCGGGUGUCAUAACGAGCUGCUCACAAAGUUCAGCCGAUGGUAGUGUCUUAAACGUGGUGCUGAGAGGCCCUUCAUUGGCCUCUGAUGUACAGACUGUGCUCGUAUCGGGUGACGACUACAAUGCGGAUUUGUUUAUGGACCAUAUUAGCCAAGUCAUGCAAAGUAACGACACAGGUCUGACGGAUGACGUGCUAGAGUUGGUGGUCACAGGGGUCCACAACAAGCGGGGUGGGGCACGUUUGAAGUUAAAAAACAUUCCCUAUGAUGAAAUCAUAUACAAGAAGAAGCUAAGUCUCUACACCCCGAGUAAUACUCAUAACAAUUUGUGUUUCUCACUAUGCAUGACACAUUUUCUGCAUGAAGGGGUAACCGGGGGUGACACAGCGUCCGAAGAGACUAAUUUGGAGGCGGCUCGCAAAUUACACAGUGAUCUGGGGUUUGACCCGGAUCACUCUGUGGGUUUCUCGGAUGUAUCCAAAUUUGAGAGACAUCUAGAUGUUAAAAUCCUGAUAUUUCAUCAUAAUGACACAUUCAGGAAGCUGGAGAUGUUCCAGACACAUACAGCCCAGCAUCCUAAAACAGUAUGGCUGUACCUCCAUGAUAACCAUUACCAUUGCAUAGAGAACAGAACGGCAUUCUUUGGUACGGGAUAUGUGUGUGAAUAUUGUUACAAGGCCCAUGAGGGAAUUCUAUUCCACAAAUGCCCGAUCCAUUGCAAUGUGUGUCUGACAGUGUGCGAUAGACUAGCAGGUCGUACGAUAAAGUGCAAGGACUGCAGUCGUAUAUGCCGCUCGCAGGUCUGCUACAACACACACAAGAAGCAUUCUGCCAAACAUGACAUGAUACCUUGUGAAAAGCUCAAAUACUGCGAUCGUUGUUGUAGACAGUAUAUCAUACCGAAGAAGAAGAAGAAGGGGGUGGGGGAGGGGGAGGAGGAGGAGGAGAAGGGUGACGCUAAUGGUCAUGUAUGCAGCGAUGCAAAGUGUCGUAAGUGUGGGGAGCCGAUGCCCGAAGAGGGAAUACAUGAUUGCUAUAUCCAGCCGUACGACAAGAAAAAGAAAAAGAAACGCAGGGGUGGUCCAUCGGAUGACGAUGAUGACGACGCUCCGCCUAAUAAAUACAUAUACUAUGAUUUCGAAACGCGCGUGCAUGAUGGUCGUCACGAAGCAAACUGUGUGGCGGCUAUUACGUCUGAAGGCAUAGAAUGGUAUGCUACCGGUCUAGAUUGUGUAAGAGAGUUUGUGAAACGCUACAGAACAGGGGAGUAUACGUUGUAUACAUUUGUGGCACACAAUGCGUCGGGCUUUGAUAACUAUAUCGUCCUGGACUACAUGACCAAGCAGGGUAUUAAACCCGUUUUAGUCAUGAAGGGUAGCAGAGUCAUUUUGAUGCGUGAUGACGCCUACCAUCAGAGAUGGGUCGACUCGUUUAGCUAUUUGCCCAUGCGACUGGCUAAUGCACCGGAGGCGUUGGAUUUUGAUGAUAUGGUAAAAGGUUAUUUUCCUCAUAAAUUCAACACACGGGCCAACGAGUCUUAUGUCGGUGCCUACCCUGAGAUCUCAUAUUAUGGUUAUGAUUCCAUGACUAGCGAUCAAAAGACAGAUUUCGCUAUUUGGUACAGAUCUGUACGACACAAAAAAUUUGACUUUCAGAAACAGCUGCGUCGCUACUGUGUCAACGAUGUGAUGAUCCUGUACACAGCGUGUGGGAUCUACAGGGAAAAUUUCAUAGAGUGUGCCAAUAUAGACCCCCUGGCCUAUGCCACCCUGGCUUCGGCGUGCAUGGCCACCUUCAAAAAGUCGUUCUUGAAGAAAAACGUCCUGGCAUUGACCUACGAGGGGGUCUAUAGGAAAAAGAAAAAGUCGUUCUCAUGUGCAUCCAUCCAGUGGCUUGAAUAUCUAUCCCGCUCCAAUAGCCUGGAGAUUCGGCAUGCUCUCAACCAUGGAGAGGCUAAAUAUGGGCCAUUCUUCCUAGACGGACAUGCCCCGUCUAUAAACACAGCCUAUGAAUUUGCAGGAUGCUUUUAUCAUGGGUGUGAACAUUGUUACAACGCUGGACACCAGAACCCUGUCCUCAAGAAGACCUAUGGCGAAUUGUGGGUGCAGUUUCACCUCAAAGUCAAGGCUCUCAAAAGAGAUCAUGGUUUAAGAGUCGUGGUCAUGUGGGAGUGUGAGUGGCACCGUCUGAAAAAGACCAAUGCUGCAGUGCAGGCAUUCUUGGCUACUCUGAAGAUACAACCCAGGAUUGAUCCUCGCGACUCUCUCUAUGGGGGUCGCACCAACGCCAUCAAAAUGUAUCACAAGGCCGAGCCCGGUGAGAAAAUACGCUACUAUGACUUUACCUCUCUCUACCCCACAGUACAGGCUCGCUGUCCUUAUCCUGUAGGGCACCCCCAGAUCAUUUUCAGGAAUUUUGAUCCUUUGGAUGGGUAUUUCGGCAUCAUCAAAUGCACUGUGUUGCCCCCCAGAGGUCUUUACCAUCCUGUGCUCCCUUACAGGUGUCAUGGGAAGCUGAUGUUUCCCCUCUGUGGUACAUGUGCCGCUGAGCUCAAUCAGACAGCCGCGUGUCAUCACAGCAACGAUGAACGGGCUCUGACAGGCACCUGGGUGACUUUUGAGCUACAAAAAGCAGUUGAAAUGGGCUACGUGUUAAUCCAGAUGCAUGAGGUGUGGCACUACCCCAAACGGUCAGAGACUCUGUUUAAAGGGUAUGUCAAAACGUUUCUCAAGCGUAAACAGGAGGCUUCAGGAUACCCCAGCACAGUGGAUACUGCGGAGAAACAGCGGGUGUAUGUGCAAAACUACCUGGCAAAGGAAGGCAUACUGCUGGAUCGCGACAACAUGUGUGUGAACAAGGCCAUGCGUAAUUGCAACAAGUUGAUUCUAAACAGUCUGUGGGGUCGCUUUUCACUACGCCCAGACCUGCCCACUUGUGAGCUAAUUUCUGAACCUGAAAGGUUCACUCAGCUCAUGUUUAGAGACAGCUAUCACAUUAGUCACUUUUGCUUUAUCUCUGAUGCUGUGGCCCUUGUACAAUGGAAACACGUAGAUGCACGUCUCGCGAGGGCGCGGGAUGUCAACGUGAUUGUGGGGGCUGUGACUACUGCCCAUGCCAGGCUCAUGCUCUACGAUCUUCUAGACAAACUACAGGAACGUGUCCUCUAUUGUGACACAGACAGCAUCAUUUUUGUUUCUAAGGAGGGUGAUUGGGUACCCCCUUUAGGCCCUUAUCUGGGCGACUUGACCGACGAGAUAAAUGAUGGUGAUCUGUAUGGUACCGAACAGGAGGAUUACAUUAGUGAAUAUGUCUCAACAGGUCCUAAAAGCUAUGCAUACCACACCCGUCACCACAAGUCUGUCGUCAAAAGCAAAGGGGUGACUUUAAAUGCAGCAAAUGCUGCAGUGGUCACCCAGCAGACACUGAAAUGUCUAUUGGAUGAUUUUGUCAACCAACGGCCUCAAACCCUCGACAUCACCACCACAGUAGAUACCAUCCAGCGAGAUAAGACUAGGUUUCUGCUUAAAAACGCUACUGUAGUUAAACGGCUUAGGGUAGUUUACAACAAACGCAGGGUCUUCCCCGACUACACCACGCUUCCUUACGGUUAUUAA
ensembl:lncRNA